ACUGUUCGCCAGAGAACUACAAGCGAAAAACUUAAAACUCCAAGGACUUGGCGGUACUCCACAUCAACCUAGAGGAGCCUGUCCUAUAAUCGAUACUCCACGUUAAACCUUACCACCCCUUGAAACACAGCCUAUAUACCGCCGUCGACAGCCCACCUUAUGAAAGACACCAAGUGAGCACAAUAGCUAGCAGUUAAUACGUCAGGUCAAGGUGUAGCACACGGGGUGGCAGCGAUGGGCUACAUUUCCUACAACAGGACAUACGAACGGCAUACUGAAAUACCCACCUAAAGGCGGAUUUAGCAGUAAAACAAAUAAGAGUUAUUGUUUUAAACCUGCUCUGGAGUGCGCACACACCGCCCGU
rnacentral:rRNA from 1 species